UACGUAGGCAGCGAGCGUUGUUCGGAGUUACUGGGCGUAAAGGGUGUGUAGGCGGUUGUUUAAGUUUGGUGUGAAAUCUCCCGGCUCAACUGGGAGGGUGCGCCGAAUACUGAAUGACUUGGAGUGCGGGAGAGGGGAGUGGAAUUCCUGGUGUAGCGGUGAAAUGCGUAGAUAUCAGGAGGAACACCGGUGGUGUAGACGGCUCUCUGGACCGUAACUGACGCUGAGACACGAAAGCGUGGGUAGCAAACAGG
rnacentral:rRNA from 1 species